GGUUGGCUCUCUUCAGACUUUAAUGAACUCCCAUUAAAAAAUACAUUUUCCAGAGGCAUAAAUAGAUGGGGAUUGCUCUUCAGGAACCCGGGAGACAGCUGAAACCUGCCACCACCCUCCUGCAAUGAAAACCAUGCAGAGAUUUUUAGGAAGAACAUUUUGGAGGACAGCAUCCAUGCUUCUGCCAGCAGUGUCGGGAUGGUUGAUGGGGAUUUGAGGCUUUUAGUUUUCCACUUCAGCCUUUCCCACAGCAAUAAUAUUAAUUGCAAAUGCUGGUGUGCUUUUCCCCAUCAGUUUAUCUCAGAAGCAGCUUUCCAAUAUUCAGAUGGCUAAGGUCUUGGUGGCAACCAGGGAUGGUGAAUAACAGAUGGGGUCUCCCAGCCUGCACGUUCCUGAUUAUUUUUGCUAACUCCAGCCUCAUCACCAUUCUGGCACCAUUAAAUUCCAGUGAGCAUCCUCCUCACCUCCAUGAGGAAGGUGCAUUCCCAUCAUUUCAUGCAGCAAGGACUCAGGUUCAACUUAAAAAAACAAACAAAAAAAAAAGCCAAAACCAGAACAACCCCCCCAAAAAACUCUACAGUAUCCCAGCUACUUUAUGCCAAGACACUUCAUUUCAGGCCCAGCUGUAUCAGUAUUGCUGCACAAGGGAACUGCUUGUGCAAUAAUAUUUUUUAAAACUCCACUUUCUAAUGACAAAUUCUGGGGCCACCUUCAGGUUGUUUCCCUUCCAGGCUGUUCCUUCCUAGGAAUUAAAAAGGAGCUGCUGCCCAUAUUGUAACAAGUCUCAUGUCUGCAGGA